rnacentral:rRNA from 1 species
CUAAAAUUUAGCCCUAAUAUUCUUUAUUUUUUUCUCCACAUCUAACAACCGCCACUAAAACAUUCUAAUAAUCUAGUACAGGCGAUCGAAACACUUCUAGGAGCUAUACAUAGUACUGCAAAGGAACAAUGAAAUAGAAAUGAAAUAAUAUUAAAGCCCCACACAGUAGAGACUUCCCCUCGUACCUUUUGCAUCAUGAUCUAGCAAGUCCAAACAGGCAAAGAGAACUACAGUCUGCCCCCCCGAAACUAAGUGAGCUACCCCAAGGCAACUAAUAGAGUUAACCCGUCUCUGUGGCAAAAGAGUGGGAAGACCUUCGAGUAGAGGUGAUAAACCUAUCGAACUUAGUGAUAGCUGGUUACUCAAAAAACGGAUGUAAGUCCAACCUUAAGUCAAAUUAGCAAUACACAGCAUCUCUCAUACUUAAGAGCCAGUCAAAUAAGGCACAGCUUAUUUGACACAGGAUACAGCCUAAACCCCCGGGUAAUAUUCAUUUUUUCCCAACCAAGUUGGCCUAAAAGCAGCCACCUUUAAAAUAGCGUCAAAGCUUAAUUGCAAAAUAUUACAAUUUCUUUCACCAUAUAAAACCCACACCCAAUAUUGAGUGACCUUAUAAUUAUAUAAGGGACAUCAUGCUAAAAUCAGUAACAUGAGUACCCCCCUCUCUCCAGUGCAAGUGUAAAUCAAAAUGGACCUCCCGCUGAUAUUUAACACCCCUACACCCGUGGCAGUAACAUAACAAGAAAACCCUGCCCCCUCCUAUGUUAACCUAACACAAGAGCACUACAAGAAAGAUUUAAAGAAGUGGAAGGAACUCGGCAAAAACCAACCUCGCCUGUUUACCAAAAACAUCGCCUCUUGAAAAUAUAAGAGGUCCAGCCUGCCCAGUGACUCUGUUCAACGGCCGCGGUAUUCUGACCGUGCGAAGGUAGCGUAAUCACUUGUUCUUUAAAUAAGGACUAGUAUGAAUGGCACCACGAGGGUUGCACUGUCUCCCACCUCUAAUCAGUGAAAUUAAUCUUCCCGUGAAGAAGCGGGAAUAAGCAUAUAAGACGAGAAGACCCCAUGGAGCUUUAAACAAAAGGCACAUGCAAACCAAAUCAAGCAUUCUGUCCCCAAGUUUUCGGUUGGGGCGACCGCGGAGAACAACAUAACCUCCACGCUGAACGAUUAUAUCUUAGCCGUAAUUCACAAAUUUAAGCACCAGCACCCUGACACCCAUUGACCCAAUACAAUUGAUCAACGAACCAAUGUUACCCUGGGGAUAACAGCGCAAUCUACCUUGAGAGCUCAUAUCGACAGGUGGGUUUACGACCUCGAUGUUGGAUCAGGGUAUCCCAGUGGUGCAGCAGCUACUAAUGGUUCG